rnacentral:rRNA from 1 species
AUACGUAGGGGGCAAGCGUUAUCCGGAUUUACUGGGUGUAAAGGGAGCGUAGACGGAAGGCCAAGUCUGAUGUGAAAGCCCGCGGCUCAACUGCGGGACUGCAUUGGAAACUGGUCAUCUGGAGUGCAGGAGAGGGUAGUGGAAUUCCGAGUGUAGGGGUGAAAUCCGUAGAUAUUCGGAGGAACAACGGUGGCGAAGGCGGCUACCUGGACCGAUACUGACGCUGAGACGCGAAAGCGUGGGGAGCAAACAGGAUUAGAUACCCUGGUAGUCCACGCCGUAAACGAUGAGUGCUAGGUGUUGGGGGUCAAACCUCGGUGCCGCAGCUAACGCAUUAAGCACUCCGCCUGGGGAGUACGUACGCAAGUAUGAAACUCAAAGGAAUCGACGGGG